rnacentral:rRNA from 1 species
CAAUAGCGUAUAUUAAUGCUGCUGCGGUUGAAACGCUCGUAGUUGGACCUUGGGGCGGGUGCUGGGUUCGGCCUCCGGGCUGUAUCCCAGUAGCUGUCCUUUUGUCGUGAUCCGCCUCCAGGGCUUCGGCUUUGGGUUCAGGCGAUCUUCGACCGGUUACUUUGAAGAAAUUAGAGUGUUCAAAGCAGGCCAACGCCUUGAAUACAUUAGCAUGGAAUAACAGAAUAGGACUUUGGUCUUGUUGUGUUGGUUUCCGGGACUAGAGUAAUGAUUAAUAGGGAUAGUUGGGGGCAUUCAUAUUUGGUCGUCAGAGGUGAAAUUCUUGGAUUGACCAAAGAUGAACUACUGCGAAAGCAUUUGCCAAGGAUGUUUUCAUUAAUCAAGAACG